AGUUGCGCAUGUUUUCCCAUACCAUGGAACGCUUGCACCGAUAUAUCGUUAGGGGAGAUUCGUUUUCAAGUACGAUUCAAUCGUCACUGUCGCUUCAUCGCCAUUUCCGGGGAGCAUGGAGCACCGUUCACAAUCGAUUCACUGUUUUAUACGAAUAAAGCGUUCUUAUCUCACGUUGUUCGCACUUUGGCUUCUUCUUUUCCUUCCUUCCUUCGUUCUGCCAGUGAAAUUACGAAUCGGAACGAAAAAAUUACGAUGAAAAAACGUUAAUGAAUGGAAGGCGAUAAAACCGGGAGAUCGAGGGAUAACGAGGUAUCGACGGGUACAUAAGAGCACAGAGCGCGUUCAGGACUACGUAGUGUUGGUAGCUGAAAUAAACUGACGUAGGUUAGGGGAUCGAAGAACAGCUGGGCUCGGCCUGGCUGCUGUACGCCAUCACUGACUCACUCAACCUCUUCUCUCACUCUUCCACUCGAUCCUUUAUGCAAUACCUCUCGCUCUUCCAACACUGUGUCUUUUUCUAUCUCUCUUUUUAUCCUGUUUUCUCUCUAUUCUCCCUCCCUCGCUCGUGCACACUCCAUGGAUCUGUGACUGUCCUUUUUCUUCUUACGCUACUGGAUAAAUUCGUUUCUCUCUUGCUCUGCCGCUGCCGAUGAUACGUACGUUCUUUCUCUGCUGCGUGAAAUUGUCCUGCCUUUUUUGACGUUUCGAUCUGCAUCUUUGAUUUAUUGGUUUUCUCAUAAGACACAAAGGAUCGUUCUCUUUACCUAUCAAGGACGAGUUCUUGAGCGUAGGUUGAUCAGGAAACGAAUUGGCGCCUUGGUAUAUCGAUUAGAAUGCAACGUGCGUCAAGUAGAAGCUGCUUUUUAUUGUUCUUUGUUAUCGCUGUUUAUCAAAUACUUUGCAUAUUAUUCUAUAUACCGUAUUUCCUAUAUUGAUAAAACGGGGUUUGCGGUGUGUGAUUUAAUCAGUGAUUUCGCGAUUUAUCCGUGAAUUUGUUCCGAUUGCUCUACUUUGUGCAAUGUGUACAUUACGUCAACAAUAAUACCGACAGAAAAGGGUCGCAG